UGAGCAAUCUGCCCUUCUCUUCGGAAUAAGCGUUGGAAACGACGUCUAAUGCCGAAUACGACCUCCUUUCGCAUGAUCGGAGGUGGAAAGCUCCGGCGGAGAAGGAUGAGCUCGCGGCCUAUCAGCUAGUUGGUGUGGGUAAUGGCCCACCAAGGCGACGACGGGUAGCCGGCCUGAGAGGGCGAUCCGGCCACACGUGGGACUGAGACACGGCCCAGACCUCCGUACGGGAGCAG
rnacentral:rRNA from 1 species